CAACCGAACGUUUCUAUAUUCUGUUACUUAUCACUGUCGUGUCAGGGAGUGAGAGCUGCUCUCGUGCCAGGGGAUGUCGAGAAACAGCUCCUGGGGCCGGAGGUCCCCACCCCACAUCUGGCACCUUUUUCUCCACAGCACAGGCAGCGGAUGAGACUUCCCCAAACUGCGCAGGGUACCGCAGGCUUUUGGGGAAGGGACGUGUGAUUGGUGCACGGGUGACACGGCUUGAGCUUAAAAGUUCGGAGCAGAGGAGGAAGUGUCACAGCACUCGCAGAGCCCCUGCCAUGCCGCCCCUCCAGCGUGCCUGCCUGCUCCUGCUGCUCGCCCUGCUCGGCCUGUGCCUGUCCCUCGGCCAGGCGAGCGAUGAGGUGUCUCCUUCGAAACAUCCUGCCCUGAGCAACGUCACGAUCCCCACCAGCAGCGGCCUGAGGCCGCCCAGCGCCUCCCCGCCGCUCCUGUCCAUGGCGCUGGGGGUGGUGGCAGCGCUGCUGCUCCUGCGCUGAGCGGGACGAUCCCGGCGCGGUCCUGCUUCCUGCAGACCCGCUCCACGAUGGCAUCGCCCGGCACCAUCCCAGUUCCUGCCGCCCUCCGCUCGCCUCGUCCCCCCGGCCUCGGAGUGAGCCCCCGGCCUUGGGGGGCGGAGCAAUAAACGCGCCGGUGCCGAGA